UAGCCAAAUUCAAGGUUCUUCUUAUUCACCAAUAAAAAAUUCAAAGGUUCUUGUUAAAGAAAAUGGCAAGCAGCAGCAUCAAGUUCGUGAUAUUUACAUUAGUAUUUAUGUGCAUUGCUUCGUCGAUGCUUCAUGCAGAUGGAGUAUCCUAUCCACACCCUCGAUAUUGCUUUCGUUUAGACAAACGUUUAUGUGUUCAGAGUGCAUGCCACUAUUUCUGCAUAUACAACGAUUUCCCUCUAGGUGGAAGUUGUGUACCAAUGACGAGUUUGUGUUGUUGCAUUAGAAGUCAAUGAAACGUGGUUUUAUUAAUGACCAUUUUUAUAUCCCUUAUGCAAUAAUUUGUAAAAUGGUCAUUUGAUCUUUAUCAAUAAUAGUUUUCAUUAUUUUAAUUUUCUGUUAAAUUUAUAUAUGAAUGUUGAGGUGUUUGAGAGAAUAUCCUGCUCUAAAUCUUGUGGUAGUAUGUUUUUGUGUUUUGGUGACUUCUUUAAUUAAGAUCUAUUCUUGUAUCUCUUUUUUAGUGUA